UCCCUUCAACCUUUUUUUAAUCAUUAAAUUAUAAUUUCAUUUAGAGUUUAUUAUCGGGUGCAAAAUGAAUUGUGCACACUUUUCCAUUCUACAUAUAUACAGGCUUUCCGAUAACUUUUCACAUCCAAAGUUAGGCAUUCUAAUUUCUUCUAAAAGGCUUGGACUAAAUUCUUCCUAGUUAUUAUUAUACCAACAGCUUUCGGCAACUUCCUAGUUAGUAUACACACACUUUACUGGUGUACAUAUGAAGACAUAAGGAGUUAGAGAAGACCUUCAAAGCUGGCAUGGCUACGAGAUGGAAACAAAGUCAUCAUCUCAUGCAUGUAGCUUUUGUUGUUGAGGGCUACCGCAAGCAUAUUUCAAUAGUCACCUCUUGUUACUUGCUAAUUACUAAUUGCUAUCCAAACACAUGCAAACCCAAUAAGUGUUUGGGUUAUGCAUGAAAGUGCAUUCAGUGAACAAAAACUUGAUGGAGUCAGACAGAGGUAGAAGACAAAAGGGUAUACAUAUAGGUCCUGAG
rnacentral:lncRNA from 1 species